UACGUAGGGUGCGAGCGUUGUCCGGAAUUACUGGGCGUAAAGAGCUUGUAGGUGGUUUGUCGCGUUGUUCGUGAAAUCUCACGGCUUAACUGUGAGCGUGCGGGCGAUACGGGCAGACUAGAGUACUGCAGGGGAGACUGGAAUUCCUGGUGUAGCGGUGGAAUGCGCAGAUAUCAGGAGGAACACCGGUGGCGAAGGCGGAUCUCUGGGCCAUUACUGACGCUGAGGAGCGAAAGCGUGGGGAGCGAACAGG
rnacentral:rRNA from 1 species